rnacentral:rRNA from 1 species
UGCAAGCGAGGUAGGAGAUGAACAGGCAAAUCCGUUCAUCAAUCCGAAGACGUGAUGCGGACCGAAUUAAGAGUAGGGAAGUGUGUGAGCCAUGCGUCAAGAAAAGCCGCUAUUGUUUUACUUAAGCCCGUACCGUAAACCGACACAGGUGGAUGAGGAGAGAAUCCUAAGGCCGACGGGAGAAGCAUUGUUAAGGAACUCGGCAAAAUGACUCCGUAACUUCGGGAGAAGGAGUGCCAGCGAGAGCUGGCCGCAGAGAAUUGGCCCAAGCAACUGUUUAGCAAAAACACAGGUCUAUGCAAAACCGUAAGGUGAAGUAUAUGGGCUGACGCCUGCCCGGUGCUGGAAGGUUAAGAGGAGAGGUUAGCGGCAACGCGAAGCUUUGAAUUUAAGCCCCAGUAAACGGCGGCCGUAACCAUAACGGUCCUAAGGUAGCGAAAUUCCUUGUCGGGUAAGUUCCGACCCGCACGAAAGGCGUAAUGAUUUGGGCACUGUCUCAACAAUGCACCCGGUGAAAUUGAAAUACCAGUGAAGAUGCUGGUUACCUGCGCCAGGACGGAAAGACCCCAUGGAGCUUUACUCCAGCUUGAUACUGGGAUUCGGUAUUGCAUGUACAGGAUAGGUGGGAGGCUAGGAAGUGAUAACGCCAGUUGUCACGGAGCCGCUGUUGGGAUACCACCCUUGCAGUAUUGGAUUUCUAACCAGCGACCAUGAACUGGUCGGGGGACAAUGUCAGGUGGGGAGUUUGACUGGGGCGGUCGCCUCCGAAAGGGUAUCGGAGGCGCUCAAAGGUUCCCUCAGAAUGGACGGAAACCAUUCGAAGAGUGCAAAGGCAGAAGGGAGCUUGACUGCGACACCGACGGGUGGAGCAGGUACGAAAGUAGGACUUAGUGAUCCGGUGGUAUAAAGUGGGAUUGCCAUCGCUCAACGGACAAAAGCUACCCUGGGAUAACAGGCUUAUCACUCCCAAGAGUUCACAUCGACGGAGUGGUUUGGCACCUCGAUGUCGGCUCAUCGCAUCCUGGGGCUGAAGUAGGUCCCAAGGGUUGGGCUGUUCGCCCAUUAAAGCGGUACGCGAGCUGGGUUCAGAACGUCGUGAGACAGUUCGGUCCCUAUCCGGCGUGGGCGUAGGAUAUUUGAGAGGAGCUGUCCUUAGUACGAGAGGACCGGGAUGGACUGGCCGCUGGUGUGUCUGUUGCAUACCAAAUGCAUGGCAGAGUAGCCAAGCCGGGACGGGAUAAACGCUGAAGGCAUCUAAGCGUGAAGCCCCCCUCAAGAUGAGAUAUCCCUACGUAAGUAGUAAGACCCCUUGAAGACGACGAGGUAGAUAGGUCAGAGGUGGAAGUACAGUAAUGUAUGGAGCUGACUGAUACUAAUCGGUCGAGGGCAUGACC